UUACUAAGUUUUCUACCACUAAAGGUUUUUUUAAUGCGUAAGAUCUUUUAUUGGACUGUACAAGUAUUGGUACUUGGUCAAUUGAGAUCGAUCUUGAUGGUCUCGAUAAAUUGGCACUUAGAACCGAAUUGGGUUCCUCAGUCUGUUGAAGUCUCAAUAUUGGGAUACGUCCCAAUACUGAUAUUGGUUCAUUUAACCCCGUGGA
rnacentral:lncRNA from 1 species